rnacentral:rRNA from 1 species
GACGAACGCUGGCGGCGUGCUUAACACAUGCAAGUCGAACGGAAAGGCCCUGCUUUUGUGGGGUGCUCGAGUGGCGAACGGGUGAGUAACACGUGAGUAACCUGCCCUUGACUUUGGGAUAACUUCAGGAAACUGGGGCUAAUACCGGAUAGGAGCUCCUGCCGCAUGGUGGGGGUUGGAAAGUUUCGGCGGUUGGGGAUGGACUCGCGGCUUAUCAGCUUGUUGGUGGGGUAGUGGCUUACCGAGGCUUUGACGGGUAGCCGGCCUGAGAGGGUGACCGGCCACAUUGGGACUGAGAUACGGCCCAGACUCCUACGGGAGGCAGCAGUGGGGAAUAUUGCACAAUGGGCGGAAGCCUGAUGCAGCAACGCCGCGUGCGGGAUGACGGCCUUCGGGUUGUAAACCGCUUUCGCCUGUGACGAAGCGUGAGUGACGGUAAUGGGUAAAGAAGCACCGGCUAACUACGUG